GAUGAACGCUAGCGGCAGGCCUAAUACAUGCAAGUCGGACGGGAUUUGGGAGCUUGCUCCUAAUGAGAGUGGUGCACGGGUGCGUAACACGUAUGUAACCUACCUUAAUCGGGGGGAUAGCCUCUCGAAAGAGAGAUUAACACCGCAUAACAUAUUUUUAUGGCAUCGUAGAAAUAUCAAAUAUUUAUAGGAUUAAGAUGGGCAUGCGGAACAUUAGCUAGUUGGUAAGGUAACGGCUUACCAAGGCUACGAUGUUUAGGGGAUCUGAGAGGAUGACCCCCCACACUGGUAAUGAGACACGGACCAGACUCCUACGGGAGGCAGCAGUAAGGAAUAUUGGUCAAUGGGCGCAAGCCUGAACCAGCCAUGCCGCGUGCAGGAAGACGGCCCUAUGGGUUGUAAACUGCUUUUGUACCGGAAUAAACCCUUUUACGUGUAGAAGGCUGAAUGUACGGUAAGAAUAAGGAUCGGCUAACUCCGUGCCAGCCGCCGCCGUAA
rnacentral:rRNA from 1 species